GAUGAACGCUGGCGGCGUGCCUAAUACAUGCAAGUCGAGCGAACAGAUGAGGAGCUUGCUCCUCUGACGUUAGCGGCGGACGGGUGAGUAACACGUGGAUAACCUACCUAUAAGACUGGGAUAACUUCGGGAAACCGGAGCUAAUACCGGAUAAUAUAUUGAACCGCAUGGUUCAAUAGUGAAAGACGGUUUUGCUGUCACUUAUAGAUGGAUCCGCGCCGCAUUAGCUAGUUGGUAAGGUAACGGCUUACCAAGGCAACGAUGCGUAGCCGACCUGAGAGGGUGAUCAGCCACACUGGAACUGAGACACGGUCCAGACUCCUACGGGAGGCAGCAGUAGGGAAUCUUCCGCAAUGGGCGAAAGCCUGACGGAGCCACGCCGCGUGAGUGAUGAAGGUCUUCGGAUCGUAAAACUCUGUUAUUAGGGAAGAACAACUGUGUAAGUAACUAUGCACGUCUUGACGGUACCUAAUCAGAAAGCCCCGGCUAACUACGUG
rnacentral:rRNA from 1 species